GUGUCAGCAGCCGCGGUAAUACGUAGGGGGCAAGCGUUGUCCGGAAUCAUUGGGCGUAAAGCGCGCGUAGGUGGCCAUGUAAGUCCGCUGUGAAAGUCAAAGGCUCAACCUUUGAAAGCCGGUGGAUACUGCAUGGCUAGAGUACGGAAGAGGCGAGUGGAAUUCCUGGUGUAGCGGUGGAAUGCGCAGAUAUCAGGAGGAACACCAAUAGCGAAGGCAGCUCGCUGGGACGUUACUGACACUGAGGCGCGAAAGCGUGGGGAGCGAACAGGAUUAGAUACCCCGGUAGUCC
rnacentral:rRNA from 1 species